CAGCAGCCACGGGAAUACGAAGGGUGCAAGCGUUAAUCGGAAUUACUGGGCGUAAAGCGUGCGUAGGCGGUGAGUUAAGUCUGCUGUGAAAUCCCCGGGCUCAACCUGGCAAUGGCAGUGGAUACUGGCUCGCUAGAGUGUGUCAGAGGAUGGUGGAAUUCCCGGUGUAGCGGUGAAAUGCGUAGAGAUCGGGAGGAACAUCAGUGGCGAAGGCGGCCAUCUGGGACAACACUGACGCUGAGGCACGAAAGCGUGGGGAGCAAACAGGAUUAGAUACCCGCGUAGUCCCUGUCUCUUAUAC
rnacentral:rRNA from 1 species